rnacentral:rRNA from 1 species
AUACGGAGGAUCCGAGCGUUAUCCGGAUUUAUUGGGUUUAAAGGGUGCGCAGGCGGCCAUUUAAGUCAGCGGUUAAAUCGUGGGGCUCAACCCCAUUCUGCCGUUGAUACUGGGUGGCUUGAUUGCGGUCGAGGUUGGCGGAAUUCGUUGUGUAGCGGCGAAAUGCAUAGAUAUGACGAAGAACACCGAUUGCGUAGGCAGCUGACCAGACCGCAAAUGACGCUCAUGCACGAAAGUGCGGGGAUCGAACAGGAUUAGAUACCCUGGUAGUCCGCACAGUAAACGAUGAAUACUUGUUUUCGGCGAUAUAAUGUCGGAGGCAAAGCGAAAGCGAUAAGUAUUCCACCUGGGGAGUACGCCGGCAACGGUGAAACUCAAAGGAAUUGACGGGG